UAUCAUUUUCAGCUGAGAAAAAACUAGCUGAGAAUAAUGAGUUUAAUUUCACAAAAUCUUUGAAGGUCCAGGAUAAAAGUGUAAACCAAUGGCUGAAAAAACAGUAUGGUAAAACCUACACCGUAUCUUCUAUUUUAAUGGAUAUUGAAGGGAUAGGAAGCAUAAAAAAUUAUUCGUGUGGACUUUUAGUUUAAAAUAAACGAGAAAAUAGUACAAUUGUAUUUACUUCAAUGAUGAUAAAUUUAUGAAAACUUAUGAAAUUUUGAAAAAUCCUUUUUAACAGACAGUUCCUUAUGGCUGACAUUUGCAAACUGGUGAAAAAUAAUACAGAGAGGUGGGAAUUAUGUCAACAUGUCUAACUGUAAAGAACAAUACUAAUUCCAGAUUUUCUUUAAUAUCUUACGUAGUUAUGCUGUAAGAAGAGAUAUUGUUAUCUCGUUUGUCAGACAAUACACAAACAUAAAAAAAAUUUAAAAAAUGAAGCAAUUAUUUAUAUAAACCUUAUAGCAAAAAACGUAAUGCGUAACAAACUAACAUUUUAUUAUCAAUAAGCCUCAUUCAUUACAGCAUAUAAAAUAUAGUCAGAGAUAUGUUUAUGCCAUUGAAAAUUAUACUGAAAUUUAUAUAUGAAAAUGGUAAUUUUAUCUUACACUUGGCAGCCGCCAUUUUCCUUAUAGGAUUUGCUCCCUUACACAUUGAUGAUACAUUUAUAUAAUGCAAUUAUCUCUAGUGAUAUGUAAAGAUGAAUUUUUCUGCAAGCAGUGUUUUCUGAGAACGUUUGAGUACUUACUGUACACACAAAUGUCUUCCCUCUGGUCAACUUGCAAUACCUUAUUUCUGCAUUAAUGACUGGACCAAAUUACCUUUAAAUCAUAAAAGGUUGUAGCAUAUAACAAAAUGUAUUUGCAGACACAGGGCUGAAAAUGUUCAUUGGUUUUCCCAUAUUAUCCUAUUUUCACAACUCACACUCAUCCCUCCCGUAGCCUCCAUGAUUUUCUGUUUGUAAAGUGGUAGGUGGUAGGUAAGUGCUUUCAUCAAUGAUACCUAUAAGCAUCAAGGCCAAAAUCUGACUGGUUUAUGGUCUAAAAUGUCUACAUCCUGUAACCGUUAGGAUUUUUGCACUACUCAGAGACAUUUGUUGUCAAUUCUCUGAGAGGCACUCGCAACUCAGUACCAUAUUUACAUAAUCGGGUCCUGCUAUCAAUCUUACAAGCAUACCUGCAUAGCAUAUGGGUUUAUGGAUUUUAAAUGCAUAUUUUUCAGUAUAGAAAUGCGAUCCCCUUGACACCUGCAAUAAACAAUUGUGAUUUUACUUGAGUUACUGUAGUGCACCUUAAAAUAGCCUUCCUCAAAGACGGAAGAUAAUAAACAGGAAGAGUCUAUUCAAUAGUCGAACAUAAAGCCUUCUUCUGGCUCUGGCUCACGCACAAUACUCAGCUGUCUUUGCAUUUGAAAGAGCUGGAGAGUGCUGGAUUAGACCAUUUUAAUUUCAUUAAAAAUUAUGUCCCAGUGUCUCCCGCAAGCUGUUCAUCCCUUUGUGCAAGUCACCCCGGCAUCUUCGGCAUGUCCACAGUUUGUCUUUCCAAAGCCUCCAAAAUGACAUUUUAGGAGAGAGUCCUCUGUCCCUUUGCAUGCAACAUCAUCCAUCCAGAUUCUUCCCACACCU
rnacentral:lncRNA from 1 species